rnacentral:rRNA from 1 species
GAUGAACGCUGGCGGCGUGCUUAACACAUGCAAGUCGAACGGUGAAGCAGGAGCUUGCUCUUGUGGAUCAGUGGCGAACGGGUGAGUAACACGUGAGUAACCUGCCCUUGACUCUGGGAUAACUGCGGGAAACUGUAGCUACUACCGGAUACGACCCUCGGAGGCAUCUCCUGGGGGUGGAAAGAAUUUCGGUCAAGGAUGGACUCGCGGCCUAUCCGCUAGGUGGUGAGGUAAAGGCUCACCAAGGCGACGAAGGGUAGCCGGCCUGAGAGGGUGACCGGCCACACUGGGACUGAGACACGGCCCAGACUCCUACGGGAGGCAGCAGUGGGGAAUAUUGCACAAUGGGCGCAAGCCUGAUGCAGCAACGCCGCGUGAGGGAUGACGGCCUUCGGGUUGUAAACCUCUUUUAGUAGGGAAGAAGCGAAAGUGACGGUACCUGCAGAAAAAGCACCGGCUAACUACGUGCCAGCCGCCGCAGUAA